CCUUUUUAUUUCCCAGAACAUUCCAAAUGGUUGUAUUGUCCGUGCCCAAUGCUUGUGCAGUGGAUCUGAUUGACUCUUUUCUCAGCUUCAUAACGGCUCGCUUUUCUCCCAUAGACAGCUCUCUGUUCUCCAUGUUGGUUUAUCCUUUUUAACACAACCGCACAGGUCUUCUCAGGUGAAACCCAGGGCUCAAACCAAGAGUAGACCUUCAAAGCUAUUUAUUCUUUACACAAUCAACUGAACAGGACACACCUGGGUAACAAGAAACACCCGUCAGUCACAUGUUUCGAUAGUUUGUGAUCACUUGAAGAAAUGGGUGGGUUUUAAACAAAAGUUGCCAGGUUGUCUUUUUUGAUCUCCAACACAAUUGUCUUCAAUGUAUAGCAAAAACAAAAGAUUUGGAGACAAGCACAAACAGCACCACCGGACGUGGACAUCGAACCCCAAGAACCAGCCACUGAAGUGCAGCAGCUAUCAACAGUGUGAACACCAGGCCUGGAUGGCCUUCCAGCUGAAUUUAUAAACAUUUCUUCCGAACGUUGAGAACAGACCUGUAUGAGGAUUUUAAACGGAAUACGAAUAACGGGAAAUUACCCACCAGUUUUAUCUCCUCCUCUUGAAAAGGUAACUGUUUUUAACUGGAAGCCUGUGGCACAAAAUCAUAUCAAAAUCAAACGGACUGAAAGAGCACACACGCAUCGAUAAACGCAAAUUAAACGCACCGCGUUUACGGAUCACGUUUAUCCUCCACGUGACAUGACGGAACUGCGCAAAAUCAAUUCUUACGAGUUUUUACCAAGAAAGCGCCUUCGACAGAGCAGAUCACAUCUCUUUAACGCACCAGACACGACUGAAAUAGGGACAACGUCCUCUUUAUUAUCAUCAUGGGUUCAACUUUUCCGUUUCUGAAGCUUGUGUUUUGCUCAGGCUUGGGGGAGGGCUGAGCCGUCUUCUCACGACGCGGCAGGGGAUAAGGCAAGGACUUCCUUCACCCGGGCAGCUUCACAGUCUGGCCACAGACCCUCUGUUACGUGAAGGAAGACAGAUCCCGCAGGAGUACCGGUGUGAGGAAUACAGGAGAGCGCUACUGUCAGUGCACGCAGGCCAUGCGACCAUCUUCAUCACUAAACAGGAAGACCUUCAAGUCCUUUCAGGGUUGCUUUUAUUUACUUCUCUUCCUGUGUCCUUUCUAUCAGUCUCCUUUAUCCCAGAUUCUCCUUCUGCUUCCUCUCUCGCGUUUCCUCUCUCACUCUCUCGUCCCGUGCUACGUUCAGUAAGGGUGGACGGAUGAUGUGGCCAUGCACUUGUUUAGGAUGUUAUGUGUUGAUUAAGAUUCAUGGGGGAGUAGUUAGUGGGCGUGCGCGCGUGUGUGUGUGAUUUACAUAGGACACACCCUGUGUUCCUGAGGUAGUAGAGCUCAGAGUGUGUGUCAAUGAUAUGGGAGAUGAAGUUCACACCAGAUGGCUAUCAGAGGGACUUUACACUUUGGAAAAGGAGUUAGGUGUGUGUGUGUGUGUGUGUGUGUGUGUGUGUGUGUGUGUGUGUGUUUGUUUCUGCGUGUGUGUGUGUGUGAUUUGCAUAAGACACACCCUGUGUUCCUGAGGUAGUAAAGCUCAGAGCGAUGGCCGUGUGUGUGAAUGAUAUGGGAGAUGAAGUUCACACCAGAUGGCUAUCAGAGGGAUUUUAUCCUUUGGAAAAGGAGUAAAGUGUGUGUGUGUGUUUGUCUGUGUGUGUGUGUGUGUGUGUGUGUGUGUGUGUGUGUGUGUGAGUACGUGUUAUCUCAAACAUGUUUAACACCUGGUUCUUCCCCCUGAUGGAGAAGGUCCUACAAAUGGUGUGGCGUUCAUGCAGAAAGAAUGAACAAUAGUACAAAGGCACAAAGGGCAGCAAAAAAAAAAAAUGAGAAGGACACCGUGCAGUUGGACGGAGCGCUGGAUUCAGACAGAAACAAUGGCCUCGUGUUUUUUGGAGGAGGAAAAGAACAACUGUUCGCUUUUAUCAAGCCACAGAAACACACACAAACAGCGGGGACUGCAUUGUAUAGAUGAUAAACACACACACACACACACACACACGUGCAACACACCCUGUGUGUCUGGAAAGAUUUGAAAAGCAGAACAGUGUAGCUCUACAUCAUCCGACUGUGACACAACACUGACAAACCAACGCAUCAUAUUCCCCAAAACCCACAAAUGACUUCUUUUAGUUCAACGUUUACACGAAAGCAGAAUAUUUAAUAAAGGGAAAUGAAUCAACGGCUUCUGAGCGAGCAGGAUGUCAGAAUUCGGUGUAAAAUCAGGGGUAUUAUUAGUCCUGACUGCUGGGUGGGGAGUGUUGGCAGUCUGGAGGAUAUGAAUAAAUGAAAGUGGAAUUAACACCAACGCUCGCUUUUAAAUCAGUGCGCUGUUGUCUCGGAAUGCAAUCAAUAAACAUACAGGGUUCUCUUCAAAGGGGUUUUUUUGGAUAGUUAACAGUUAGCUUCCUAAAAUGAGUCUAAAUGUUGUGUGCGUGUGUGUGUGUGUGUGAGGGGGGGGGGCUGAUCGAAAAUCACCAUUUUGUUUUCUCGGUGUGAUCGGCGUCAUUCUGUUCAACAAGUGUGUGAGAGGAGGAUAGAACACGCUUCUCAGCAAGUGAAGGACGCAGAUGCGCUGAUCUAGAACUAAACACACACGUGACACCGGUGGUUUGGUCAUCACGAGUUCCCCAGCUGCGCUCCAUUAUUAAGCGAGGAGUUAAUCAGGGCUGAGUGUGCGGAGUGUGACUUAUUAGCUUUUGUAUUAAAAAUGAUCUAACCAUCGUUUCUUAACGCACGUCCAGCAGGGCUCAUUUCCUCAAGCAUCCGAGAGACAAGCUCGGCGAUUAACCUCUAGAACACACACGGCUAAUAUUUUCCUCAACAAAAAAAAAAAAAGAAAAAGAAGCUGUGUGCUCGGAUCGGACUGCAGCUCUAUUCAUACGGGAUUAGUUUCCCACGAGGAGGUGGAUAACGUAUAGUAACUAUUACAGUAGCAGAUUAUCUCUGGGAUUUUAGUUUGAAUUCAUCAUGUCAGUCAUUUUUACAGACUGUGUGUGUGUGUGUGUGUGUGUCUACGUGCCAUAUUUCACCCUCUAUAAAAUGAACGGGACGUCCCUGUGAUAUCACGUUUCACCAUCCACGUGAAUCGUUCAUAUCUUCUGCACAUCACUUAACACGCCAGAACGCUGCUCCUGUCCGAACAGCACUUAUGUCCUCGCUUAUAUCCGGUGCUUUCCUGCAUCUUAUAUCUUGCUUGUAAUCUAAAGCGGUAUUAUUCGGCUAGUCGGGGGUGUGUGUGGUUUGUGAGACUCUGAUUAAUGUGAUCACGUGUAAUAUGGGUCAAGCCAUAUGAACUCACCGGAGGCCUCCCGACUGACCACCUCAAUCGUGCUUCAUACUUUCUGGAAAUAACGUCACUAUUCGUAAUAAAUACUGUGCGGAAUGUCAGGCCCGUGUCUGCAUUCAUUUCUGAGAUGUAGAGGCUUUUAAAAAAAAAAGGGGGAGUGUAUAAGUCGUUACUUUUAACUGUUUAUGCCAGACGCAGGAAAUGUUCAGGGACUGUCGUCUAGUAUAAAUUGUCCUUAACUUCAAAAACACAAGGUCCACGGUUGCAUAUUUGGAAAUUUAUGCCCCGCUGAAUACUGUAAAUAAUAAUAAUAUAACAGAGUAUGAUGAUUAUUUCGUGCUUUGGAGCAGAUUCGACCCUGUAUAUCGCCACACUGAAGCACAUCAGACCUUUCAGAUUGUCAUAUCUAUUACUCAUGUUUUAGUGCUUUUUUUUUUAAAUAACUAGGUGUAUGUCUGAAAGAACCGGUCUAACAAGGUCUCCCAUAAACAAAGAAUUAUACUACAGGUGUGUAGGCUCAUUAAAUCCCGUCAUCUGAAACUGUUAGGAUUUGCAGCUCUGAAAGUCCAAUAACAGUCAGUAUAAAACUAUAAUUGGUGGAAAAAAGCUACACACACUUCCUUACACAUUUUUUUUGUCAUCGUUUCGGACAAGAAUGCUUGAUUUUGCUGCUUUAUUAAAAAAAAAUGAUUUGUUGUUUGUGCUGUUUCGCAGAAAAGUUCUCGAAUUGGCGGAAUUGCAAUCGUUUUUAGCUGUACUCGUGUCCGACACAGGCGAAUCGAACAGGGCUUUGGCUGAAUGCGAGUUGUGAUGACGUCAAAUGCGGUAAUUUUGAAAAACGCAGGCUCCUCCGAAUAUUGCGGAGUUUGUCCGAUAUUGCUUUGAUUUCUGCGACUGUAGAACCGUGAAAUCCUGGAGGAACUGUUACAUGUCCGACUGAGCAUGAAUAAGCUUACCUCGGCUGACCUGAGAUUGUCAGUCAGGACGCCUCUGCCGAGGUCGCAUGCUUCUGAUAACCGCGUCACACGUAAUAUGCAAAUACUCAGAUUUCCUGGUGUGGAUCUGAGUCAUGAUCAGAUUCAAUUACGUCCAAUGGCGUAUUUGUUUCCAUAUGAAUAAUUAGCCUUUCCAGACUGAAUCCUGAUAGUCAUCACAUAUGAGGCACCUAGAUGUGUUUAGUGGUCAGAUCGGACUACAGAAACAUAAACGGUGAUCAGAGCAGACUAUGAGAUCUGGACAACUAUAAAAUCAGACUACAAAAACAGAUCAGACUUGUACAAACAGGGCUAGUAAUCAGAUAAAACUGUAUCCAGAAUCAUUUUCUGUAUGAUUUGUAAAAAUCAGCCUUUAUAAACAGGCUCAGUUUUGAGGUAAGACUAUAAAUCCAGGAGUUUUGGUUAACUCUGACUACGAUCAGAGGAUUUUUAGCCACAUCAGGACUUUUCCAGUGUACGUCUGCUAAACCGAACGGGCAGAACCUCAACACGAUGAGAAUAAAAAUGAUUUAGUCACGCUAAACUGUAUUUCAGAUAUCUCCCUUUUACGUUAUGUAGAUGAACCCAUUCCCAGCACGAUUUUUUAAACGAGCCUUAAGGUAUGCAUCUCAGCUAAAUAUACUGAAGAUAACACUCAGUGUCCUGCCGUUAUUGGAAAAUAAUCAGCGGUGGGGUGGUGUGACGAGGCGGCGUUCACUCGUUAUCACCUACAGGCUGAAGGAACAUUUACAGCGUUGCAUUGACACCUCCAGUGUUCAUAAAUACAAACAGAAUGAAUACAGCGUUCUAAUAAAGCACAAGUUAACACACACACACAAAAAAAGAAGCUAACUUCUAUUAGAAAAGAAUCGAUAUUUCACCUGGUUCGGGAUCAUUGCAUGUUUUGUCAAUGGAGAAAACCUGUUUUCAUUUCUAUAAAUUUUCACACCCCUACUUAACAUCCAUGACGCACCAUGAUGAUAUUUUCCUUCAGCGAUACAGACCUACGCGGUGUAAUAAAUCUGCUCACUGCUCUCACACCUGAUGCUCUAAUCCAGAAUCAACACGGGGAGAUGAACAUGCUGGAGUUCUGGAAACUUAAACAGGAAAUCUGAAGGAAAUAAAAAGAAUUUUCCACUGCGUUAAAUGUUUCUGUUUUAAUCAGCCGAAACUGCCAGAGAUUUGUUUUAUCCAACACUCACUGAAAAAUCCCACAAAAGAUGAAACCUUUAUCCAAAUUAGUUUUCCUAAUAUUCACUGCUUGAGAUAAACGCCUUCACUCCGACUCAGACUACUGAGAGUUUUGGGCAGAUAUGAAACAUCAGCAUGUGUAACCAUGGUAAUUACGAAAGUCUGAAAGUGUCUGUAUGAGAAACACUCGGGGCUGGAAGUCUCUCCAAAGUUUGAGCAGCACACACCUGAACAUGGCCUGCGUUCCUUUCUUUAGGCCUCAACGUGCUUAAAAGUUGGCUGCAUGAAGACCUUCACGAGCUUACAGGCUCACACGCGGUCUGUCGUCUCGCGCUGGCCGUCAUGGACGAGUUUACACAACUACAGCGAGAUUUCCUCCUGCCAUAAAACGACGAGUUGUUGGAAGCACAACGCGGGAGAUCUGUGUAUUCUGUUCCAUAUUUACAAAGAGAAACGAGGCACGAGUGGCACGUGAGACGGUUAAGAACGACACGCUACGAGAGGAAAUGAAUCAGCAUGACCAUGCCUCAUUCGUAAUGAACAAUCACAGGCUUGGGUGUGUAGCGUGUUUGUCUUCAGCAGCGCUCACCAACCCUCUUCCUUGAGAUCUGUAGUACCUUCCUGCAGGUUUCACCUCCAACCAAAAUCUAACACACCUGUUUUAGAUCAAGACAACGAUUAGAGGGUCAGGUGGGCACCAUUAGGGUUGGAGCUAAAGUCCUGAGGAAGGUAGAUCUCCAGGAACAGGGUUGAUGACCACUGAUCUACAACGUUCCUUCAGCUGCCAUGCGCACGUCACAAUGAGCGACGUCUUCGCAAGAUGUCUGACUGCUCCUUGAUUUCAGCCUCUGCCUUGUGGGUGGUAAUGCAGCUCACUCACCUUCAGUGUGGAAGUGUAACAUUAAACACCUAUGAUGUGUAGCGAUCCGAGCGUCGAGCUGAACUGACACCCACAACGAUCGUUUGGGUCCAGUUGUGCUUCGUAACAGCCGAUUCAAAACUACUGAAUUAACACUUCUUCUUCUUCUUUUUUUUUACCAGGACUGUAUAAACACUGCAGGUUUAUUCAGUGUUGUAAGCAUUAAUUCAGUACUGUACGUGUUCAUUUUUGCAUUAACACUGUUUAUUUAAGCUUUGUGUAUAUGUUAGGAGUUCAGUGUUACAGUAACUCAGCAACGUAAGUGUUAAUCUAAUAAUUGCUACCAACACAGGCUUGUAACUUGAACUUUAGCUGAAUCCAGGAUCAUGGAAAGCUCUUUAAACAAAAGCUCAGGUUAUCAGUUUUCUGCCCAUUUUUCUGUUCUGCAAUCUGUCCUUUUAUUACAGUAUGUUAAAUGUGUGGUUAAACUAGCAAAUGGGUUUAUUAGUGUACAUGGUUAUGAAACAGCUUUUUAUAUGUGUUUUUUUUUUUUAAUGGUAAAGGUUAUGUCUCUACAAUGUACACCAGGUCCCCACAAGAUGCCUACUUUAAAAUAUUCUUUUUUUUCUACAAAUGUAUUCUUUGCUUGGUGUGUUUUAGCCUAAAAUACUUUCUACAACUUUACACAGUUCAGCUUAGUUAUGGUAUACCAACAUACAUUUCUACAUUCGGUAAUCAGGUAUGGAACUGCUUUUUUAAUGUAUUUUAUAACAUAGUAAACGUUAAGUCCCCACAAUGUACAUUGUACUCUAACAGUGUUUGCAAAGGAGUGAUUUCGAUUGAAAAUUGAAGUGGUGCCCUUCCCCCACUGGGUCCCCACACUGUCUUUUAAAAUGAAACUUUACACCAGGUCCCCACAAGAUGCCUAAUUUAACAUGUCUCUUUUUUUUCUACAAAUGUCUUCUUUGCUUGGUGUGUUUUAGCCUAAAAUACUUUCUACAACUUUAUACUAUUCAGCUUAGUUAUCGUAUACCAACAUACUUUUACUUUUGAGCUUAUUAGUGACGGUUUUGCCUAUUUCAGGUGACAGAAAGUGGAAUAGAGGUGGACCGUAAUCUUUUGGAGUCAGAUGGUGCCUCUGGAGAUGAUCAUCAUUGCACCCAACACUCACAGCAUGAGUCUUCAUUCUGUAAUCUGGUAUGGAACUGCUUUUUUAAUGUAUUUUAUAACAUAGAAAACCCUAAGUCCCCACAAUGUACAUUGUACUCUACCAGUGUUUGCAAAGGAGUGAUUUCAAUUGACAAUUGAAAUGGUGCCCCUCCCCCACUGGGUCCCCACACUGUCUUUUAACAUGAAACUUUAUACCAGGUCCUCACAUUAUGCCUACUUUAAUUUUUUUAUUUUCAACAAAUAUCUUCUUUGCUUGGUGUGUUUUAGCCUAAAAUACGUUCUACAACUUUAUACUAUUCAGCUUAGUUAUAGUCUACCAACAUACUUUUGCUUUUGGGCUUAUUAGUGACUGUUGUGCAUAUUUCAGGUGAUAAAAACUGGAAUAGAGAUGGACAGUAAUUGUCUGGAGUCAGAUGGUGCCUCUGGAGAUUAUCAUCAUUGCACCCAACAUUCACAGCAUGAGUCUACAAAUAAUUAUUUUCCCACUUAACUUUCUCUAAUGUAUUUUAAAUAUGAAAUCGUUUGAAGUCUCAUUACAUUUUGUAUUCCACCGUUUGUUUGUUUUUUAACUCAGCAGGUGCCAGAUGAAACGUUUGCUGGUGACCAGUAUUGUAUACCGCAGUUACAAGUGGAAACAAGCACUCCUCGGGUUGGAUAAACUGUCACUUUUCUGAAUAUAAAAAGCGGACCUUUUUAAUUAGUGUUCAUAUUAAAGUUAUAUUGUUUUUUUUUUAUAGCCUGAUGAGGUAAACAUCCAUGAUGCCUGCUCCAUCAGUAGUGUGGAAAAUAGUGAAGAUGAAUAUGUCCCUGAGUCUUCAUGUAGUAGCUCAGAUGAAAGUGCCUGCAAUCAUGUGAUUUCAGUUUCUGAAAGGAAAACCAAGAAAAUGACGAAAAGAUGUCCUUUACUCAGUCCUAGCACUGGUCAGUCUAGUGCAGCAGUUUCCAAUGAAUCUGAAGUUGUACCUGACCAGUCAAGCUCUGUUUUGGUCAGAGGAGUUUCAAAGCCAACUAGUAGAGUGAGAGUGUGUGAUAAGAAACAGUACUGUUUGUUUUGCAGCAAACCACUAUCAAAACUGGCAAGACACUUAGAGCAGGUUCAUAGCACUGAGUCUGAAGUUGUGAAAGCUUUGAGUUUUCCAAAAGGUUCAAAAGAAAGGAAAAACUUGCUAGAUCACCUCAGGAACAGGGGGAAUUUUGCACAUAAUGCUGAAGUUGUACAGCGUGGAGGUGAGCUUGUACCUUGUAAGAAGCCACAAAAAGAUUGUGAUUUCAAUACCUUUGUGCACUGCUGCAACUGUCAAGGGCUCUUUGCUAGAAGGUUUCUCUGGCGUCAUAUGAAAUGGUGUAAGCUGAGCAAAAAUGAUCACUCCCAUCCCAAACCGGGAAAGGGACCUGCACCUCCUGAACUAGUGCUGGCCUGUGGAAACUUUUCAGUAACAUGACCCAUGACAAGAUGGUACUUGCCAUUAAAACAGAUUUGUACAUAAGAAGAUUAGGAGAGUAUUUUUACAACAGAGUAGGCUCAGACAUUGGCAAACACGAUUAUAUUCGACAGAAAAUGAGGGAAAUUGGAAGAUUGUUAAUUACAGUGAGGGAAGUGACUCCUUUGUGUAACAUGGAGGAUUUUGUUGACCCAGCUAACUUCAUGCAUGUCAUCACUGCCGUCAGAAAAGCCAGCGGUUAUGAUGAAGAAAAGUGUACAUUCCAACGACCAUCCCUUGCAUUGAAGCUUGGUCAUAGCUUACAGAAGAUUGCUUCUUUGGUCUCAUUUCAAGCAAUGAUGGAUCAGGACAGUGAAAGAGCAGAAAAUGCGCACAACUUUUCAGACAUGUAUGCGGCAAGAUGGAGCGAACUGAUAUCAUCACAUGCACUCCGGACACAGCAGGAAAUGAAGUGGAAUGCUCCACUUAUUCUUCCUUUUACUGAGGAUGUGAAAACAUUACACUUGUAUCUUGAUCAAAAGCAAGAAGAGUACUUUCAGAAACUAUCAGCAGAUGCUUCCUCCAAGAACUGGACACAUCUUGCAAAGGUUACUCUGGCUCAGACUAUCCUCUUCAAUCGCAGAAGAGAGGGUGAGGUCCCAAAAAUGCCUUUAACAGCAUUUAACCAGCAGAAACACCGAUGACUUGCACAAAGACAUUGCUCUUGCACUAUCGGAGCUUGAAAGGAAACUCUGCCAGAGCUUUACUCGACUUGAAAUACGUGGAAAGCGUAGACGAAAGGUUCCAGAUCUUUUAACACCUAUAAGGCAGAAAAAUAUGGAACUUCUUUAACAAAAACGAAAUGUGGAAUUCCUUCUGAAAACAUUUACAUGUUUACACGUCCCGCAGGACUGUCACACCUGAGGGGGUCAGAUUGUCUUCGUGUACAAAACGUUCGUAAACGCAUAGCAACACUCUCCAAUGUUCUGAACCUCAAUAAUACAGAAUUGGAUCAGCUGGCUGACUUUUUAGGGCAUGAUGUGAGAAUACACAGAAAAUAUAACAGACUUCCUGAAGGACUCUCCAGCUGGCCAAGAUAAGCAAAGUUUUGAUGGCAUUAGAGACAGGAACACUUGGGGAGUUCAGUGGAAAGAACCUAGACGAAACUGACGUUGAGCCAGAUGGUAUGUUGAAAGGAGUUUGGAAGUGUAAAUGAUUAACAUACGGAUUUACGUGUUAUGUCAUUAUAUUAUCACUGUAGGUGUUGUUUAAAUAGAAGCUGUACUUGUUCAGAAUUCAGAUUUGUCAAGGGAUCUGUCAGGAACAGAGAAUGAAUCAGAUGAAGAUAUUGAGCCAGAACUGAAACCGUCUACAGAGCAAGCCCAGGAAACCUCAUCUGAGCAAGCAACAGAACCAACCAGUACCACAUCUGUUCCCAAAGGUGUUAAGGUGGUAAAGAAAAAGAAAUGGGAGAUCAGUGAAGUGAAGGCAGUUGAAAAACAUCUGUCCAGGUUCAUCAAAACUUGCACAGUGCCAGGAAAAAAAAACAUGGUGAGGCCUGUAUUAAAGCUGAGCCUGUUGCACUGAACGGCAGGGACUGGUUACCUGUUAAGUUCUUUGUAAAGAAUAGAAUCACAGCUCUUAAAAGGUUAAUGUAACCCAGAAAAAAGUCUGCAUGAUUUCAUUUCAUUUGCACAGAUCAUUGGUAGUUUUAGUUUAUUAUUAUUAUUAUUAUUAUUAUUAUUAUUAUUAUUAUUAUUAAGUUUAAGGAUGGAAAUUUGUAUUGUACAAUUUUAUUUUUUUCUAAUUCUUUACAUUUCAUUUGUGACGAACUUUUGAGUGUUAAUUAGUAACUGCCUGAAAAUAUUAUCUGUGCAAAAAUACCGCAUAGCAAAUAUCAAAAUGUUUAAGAUUAAAAAUAAAAGGCCUGUUGUUAUU